AUUGAACGCUGGCGGCAGGCCUAACACAUGCAAGUCGAACGGUAACAGGAAGCAGCUUGCUGCUUCGCUGACGAGUGGCGGACGGGUGAGUAAUGUCUGGGAAACUGCCUGAUGGAGGGGGAUAACUACUGGAAACGGUAGCUAAUACCGCAUAACGCCGCAAGACCAAAGAGGGGGACCUUAGGGCCUCUUGCCAUCGGAUGUGCCCAGAUGGGAUUAGCUAGUAGGUGGGGUAACGGCUCACCUAGGCGACGAUCCCUAGCUGGUCUGAGAGGAUGACCAGCCACACUGGAACUGAGACACGGUCCAGACUCCUACGGGAGGCAGCAGUGGGGAAUAUUGCACAAUGGGCGCAAGCCUGAUGCAGCCAUGCCGCGUGUAUGAAGAAGGCCUUCGGGUUGUAAAGUACUUUCAGCGGGGAGGAAGGGAGUAAAGUUAAUACCUUUGCUCAUUGACGUUACCCGCAGAAGAAGCACCGGCUAACUCCGUG
rnacentral:rRNA from 1 species